rnacentral:rRNA from 1 species
UAACACGUGGGGAACCUGCCCCUAAGUCUGGGAUACCAUUUGGAAACAGGUGCUAAUACCGGAUAAUAAAGCAGAUCGCAUGAUCAGCUUUUGAAAGGCGGCGUAAGCUGUCGCUAAGGGAUGGCCCCGCGGUGCAUUAGCUAGUUGGUAAGGUAACGGCUUACCAAGGCGACGAUGCAUAGCCGAGUUGAGAGACUGAUCGGCCACAUUGGGACUGAGACACGGCCCAAACUCCUACGGGAGGCAGCAGUAGGGAAUCUUCCACAAUGGACGCAAGUCUGAUGGAGCAACGCCGCGUGAGUGAAGAAGGUUUUCGGAUCGUAAAGCUCUGUUGUUGGUGAAGAAGGAUAGAGGUAGUAACUGGCCUUUAUUUGACGGUAAUCAACCAGAAAGUCACGGCUAACUACGUGCCAGCAGCCGCGGUAAUACGUAGGUGGCAAGCGUUGUCCGGAUUUAUUGGGCGUAAAAGCGAGCGCAGGCGGAAAAAUAAGUCUAAUGUGAAAAGCCCUCGGCUUAACCGAGGAACUGCAUCGGAAACUGUUUUUCUUGAGUGCAGAAGAGGAGAGUGGAACUCCAUGUGUAGCGGUGGGAAUGCGUAGAUAUAUGGAAAGAACACCAGUGGCGAAGGCGGCUCUCUGGUCUGCAACUGACGCUGAGGCU